UACGUAGGUGGCAAGCGUUGUCCGGAUUUACUGGGCGUAAAGGGAGCGUAGGCGGAUACUUAAGUGGGAUGUGAAAUACCUGGGCUUAACUUGGGUGCUGCAUUCCAAACUGGGUGUCUAGAGUGUUGGAGAGGAAAGUGGAAUUCCUAGUGUAGCGGUGAAAUGCGUAGAGAUUAGGAAGAACACCAGUGGCGAAGGCGACUUUCUGGACAAUAACUGACGCUGAGGCUCGAAAGCGUGGGGAGCAAACAGGAUUAGAUACCCUGGUAGUCCACGCCGUAAACGAUGGGUAAUAGGUGUAGGAGGUAUAGACUCCUCAUGUGCCGCCGUUAACACAAUAAGUACCCCGCCUGGGGAGUACGGUCGCAAGAUUAAA
rnacentral:rRNA from 1 species